rnacentral:rRNA from 1 species
GAUGAACGCUGGCGGCGUGCCUAAUACAUGCAAGUCGAGCGAACGGACGAGAAGCUUGCUUCUCUGAUGUUAGCGGCGGACGGGUGAGUAACACGUGGAUAACCUACCUAUAAGACUGGGAUAACUUCGGGAAACCGGAGCUAAUACCGGAUAAUAUUUUGAACCGCAUGGUUCAAAAGUGAAAGACGGUCUUGCUGUCACUUAUAGAUGGAUCCGCGCUGCAUUAGCUAGUUGGUAAGGUAACGGCUUACCAAGGCAACGAUGCAUAGCCGACCUGAGAGGGGGAGCGGCCACCUUGGAACGGAGACACGGUCCAGACCCCUACGGGAGGCAGCAGGAGGGAACCUUCCGAAAUGGGCGAAAGCCUGACGGAGCAACGCCGCGGGAGUGAGGAAGGUUUUCGGAUCGAAAAACUCUGUUAUUAGGAAAGAAAAUAUGUGUAAGUAACGGUGCAAAUUUUGACGGUACCAAAUCAAAAAGCCACGGCUAACUACGU